CAGGGGGGCUGCGGGGCAGGACUGAGGUGCACUGGCAGAGGUGCGUGGGGAAGCCAGGACUGGGAUAGCAGGGGGGCUGCGGGACAGGACUGAGGUGC